UACAGAGACUGCGAGCGUUAUUCGGAUUCACUGGGCGUAAAGGGUGCGCAGGCGGCCAAGUGUGUUAGGCGUGAAAGCCCGGGGCUUAACCUCGGAAUUGCACCUAAAACUACUUGGCUAGAGCAUUGGAGAGGGUAGCGGAAUUCACGGUGUAGCGGUGAAAUGCGUAGAUAUCGAGAGGAACACCUGCGGCGAAGGCGGGUUGCUGGGCUGACACUGACGCUGAUGCGCGAAAGCCAGGGGAGCGAACGGG
rnacentral:rRNA from 1 species